rnacentral:rRNA from 1 species
GAUGAACGCUGGCGGCGUGCCUAAUACAUGCAAGUCGAGCGAACAGACGAGGAGCUUGCUCCUCUGGCGUUAACGGCGGACGGGUGAGUAACACGUGGAUAACCUACCUAUAAGACUGGGAUAACUUCGGGAAACCGGAGCUAAUACCGGAUAACAUGUUGAACCGCAUGGUUCAACAGUGAAAGACGGUCUUGCUGUCACUUAUAGAUGGAUCCGCGCCGCAUUAGCUAGUUGGUAAGGUAACGGCUUACCAAGGCAACGAUGCGUAGCCGACCUGAGAGGGUGAUCGGCCACACUGGAACUGAGACACGGUCCAGACUCCUACGGGAGGCAGCAGUAGGGAAUCUUCCGCAAUGGGCGAAAGCCUGACGGAGCAACGCCGCGUGAGUGAAGAAGGUCUUCGGAUCGUAAAACUCUGUUAUUAGGGAAGAACAAAUGUGUAAGUAACUAUGCACGUCUUGACGGUACCUAAUCAGAAAGCCACGGCUAACUACGUGCCAGCAGCCGCGGUAAUACGUAGGUGGCAAGCGUUAUCCGGAAUUAUUGGGCGUAAAGCGCGCGUAGGCGGUUUUUUAAGUCUGAUGUGAAAGCCCACGGCUCAACCGUGGAGGGUCAUUGGAAACUGGAAAACUUGAGUGCAGAAGAGGAAAGUGGAAUUCCAUGUGUAGCGGUGAAAUGCGCAGAGAUAUGGAGGAACACCAGUGGCGAAGGCGACUUUCUGGUCUGUAACUGACGCUGAUGUGCGAAAGCGUGGGGAUCGAACAGGAUUAGAUACCCUGGUAGUCCACGCCGUAAACGAUGAGUGCUAAGUGUUAGGGGGUUUCCGCCCCUUAGUGCUGCAGCUAACGCAUUAAGCACUCCGCCUGGGGAGUACGACCGCAAGGUUGAAACUCAAAGGAAUUGACGGGGACCCGCACAAGCGGUGGAGCAUGUGGUUUAAUUCGAAGCAACGCGAAGAACCUUACCAAAUCUUGACAUCCUCUGACCCCUCUAGAGAUAGAGUUUUCCCCUUCGGGGGACAGAGUGACAGGUGGUGCAUGGUUGUCGUCAGCUCGUGUCGUGAGAUGUUGGGUUAAGUCCCGCAACGAGCGCAACCCUUAAGCUUAGUUGCCAUCAUUAAGUUGGGCACUCUAAGUUGACUGCCGGUGACAAACCGGAGGAAGGUGGGGAUGACGUCAAAUCAUCAUGCCCCUUAUGAUUUGGGCUACACACGUGCUACAAUGGACAAUACAAAGGGUAGCGAAACCGCGAGGUCAAGCAAAUCCCAUAAAGUUGUUCUCAGUUCGGAUUGUAGUCUGCAACUCGACUACAUAAAGCUGGAAUCGCUAGUAAUCGUAGAUCAGCAUGCUACGGUGAAUACGUUCCCGGGUCUUGUACACACCGCCCGUCACACCACGAGAGUUUGUAACACCCGAAGCCGGUGGAGUAACCUUUUGGAGCUAGCCGUCGAAGGUGGGACAAAUGAUUGGGGUGAAGUCGUAACAAGGUAGCCGUAUCGGAAGG